GGCCCAGAUCGUUUACCGUGAAAAAAUUAGAGUGUUCAAAGCAGGCAGAUCCAAUUUUCUGCCACCGAAUACAUUAGCAUGGGAUAAUGGAAUAGGACCCUGUCCUCCUAUUUUCAGUUGGUUUUGGGCAGCGCGAGGACUAGGGUAAUGAUUAAUAGGGAUAGUUGGGGGCAUUAAUAUUUAAUUGUCAGAGGUGAAAUUCUUGGAUUUAUGAAAGAUUCACUUCUGCGAAAGCAUCCGCAAAGGAUGUUUUCAUUAAUCAAGAACGAAAGUUAGGGGAUCGAAGACGAUCAGAUACCGUCGUAGUCUUAACCAUAAACGAUGCCGACCAGCGAUUAGGAGACGUUGAAUACAAAACACCACCAUCGGCGCGGUCGUCCUUGGCGUCGGUCCUUCACGCGUGGGCCGGCGCGAGGGCGGCUUAGCCCGGUGGCACCGGUGAAUGACUCCCCUAGCAGCUUGUGAGA
rnacentral:rRNA from 1 species